rnacentral:lncRNA from 1 species
CCUGGUUUUCUGGAAAUCUAAAAUUAGUAUACUAUGGAGCGCAUUAAUCCUCAAUUUUUAAUGCAAACUCAUAGACAAGUAAAUUUUGACUCAAAAUGAUCUAGAUAUAUUUCUCUUUCACCAAAAGUUUCAUUUCUGCAAAUUUGUUGGUUAGUUUAAGUAAACAAGGACAUCAAAAGCACUAUUUUGUGUCAGAGUAGGGCUACUUUUACAUACGUUCUAAAUUG